rnacentral:rRNA from 1 species
GACGAACGCUGGCGGCGUGCUUAACACAUGCAAGUCGAACGGAAAGGCCCUGCUUUUGUGGGGCGCUCGAGUGGCGAACGGGUGAGUAACACGUGAGUAACCUGCCCUUGACUUUGGGAUAACUUCAGGAAACUGGGGCUAAUACCGGAUAGGAGCUCCUGCUGCAUGGUGGGGGUUGGAAAGUUUCGGCGGUUGGGGAUGGGCUCGCGGCUUAUCAGCUCGUUGGUGGGGUAGUGGCUUACCAAGGCUUUGACGGGUAGCCGGCCUGAGAGGGUGACCGGCCACAUUGGGACUGAGAUACGGCCCAGACCCCUACGGGAGGCAGCAGUGGGGAAUAUUGCACAAUGGGCGGAAGCCUGAUGCAGCAACGCCGCGUGCGGGAUGACGGCCUUCGGGUUGUAAACCGCUUUCGCCUGUGACGAAGCGUGAGUGACGGUAAUGGGUAAAGAAGCACCGGCUAACUACGUGCCAGCAGCCGCGGUGAUACGUAGGGUGCGAGCGUUGUCCGGAUUUAUUGGGCGUAAAGGGCUCGUAGGUGGUUGAUCGCGUCGGAAGUGUAAUCUUGGGGCUUAACCCUGAGCGUGCUUUCGAUACGGGUUGACUUGAGGAAGGUAGGGGAGAAUGGAAUUCCUGGUGGAGCGGUGGAAUGCGCAGAUAUCAGGAGGAACACCAGUGGCGAAGGCGGUUCUCUGGGCCUUUCCUGACGCUGAGGAGCGAAAGCGUGGGGAGCGAACAGGCUUAGAUACCCUGGUAGUCCACGCUGUAAACGGUGGGUACUAGGUGUGGGGUCCAUUCCACGGGUUCUGUGCCGUAGCUAACGCUUUAAGUACCCCGCCUGGGGAGUACGGCCGCAAGGCUAAAACUCAAAGGAAUUGACGGGGCCCCGCACAAGCGGCGGAGCAUGCGGAUUAAUUCGAUGCAACGCGUAGAACCUUACCUGGGUUUGACAUGGAUCGGGAGCGCUCAGAGAUGGGUGUGCCUCUUUUGGGGUCGGUUCACAGGUGGUGCAUGGCUGUCGUCAGCUCGUGUCGUGAGAUGUUGGGUUAAGUCCCGCAACGAGCGCAACCCUUGUUCACUGUUGCCAGCACGUUAUGGUGGGGACUCAGUGGAGACCGACGGGGUCAACUCGGAGGAAGGUGGGGAUGACGUCAAGUCAUCAUGCCCCUUAUGUCCAGGGCUUCACGCAUGCUACAAUGGCUGGUACAGAGAGUGGCGAGCCUGUGAGGGUGAGCGAAUCUCGGAAAGCCGGUCUCAGUUCGGAUUGGGGUCUGCAACUCGACCUCAUGAAGUCGGAGUCGCUAGUAAUCGCAGAUCAGCAACGCUGCGGUGAAUACGUUCCCGGG